GUUUUAGAACACUAGUAGCUGCAUGGAUUAUUUCUGAUUCUUCAAAAUUUAAAUUUGACAGAGUAACAAAAUUCAAAAAGAAAAGGAAUUCCUGGGAAAACCUCACCUAUACAAUUGAAAGUUAACGAUAAACAACAACUGCAGUGAAAUGAGAAUGUCUUGGAAUCUAGCAAGAUAAGAGAGAUGAGGAAUGUGCAAGAACGUGCAAUAUAGGGAAGAAACUCGAAAAGUAAGCGCGCAUAUAUAUGGAGAAAAAAACAUAUAUCUAAUUUUAGCCUAACAAUGUCGAAAGUUUGUGACUUGAAGACGAAGUAAUAUUUCUCUGAACAUGGGAGACAGAAACUAAACAAUACUAAUCAAUCUUUCCCAAGU
rnacentral:lncRNA from 1 species